UCUCAGGGGCAAACACUGCCAGCUCUGUCAGGCUUUCCACGUGUAAGAGGUGCUCCACUCCCACCGUCACCUUUGUGGCCAUCACUGGCCUCUCUUCUCGAUGUCCAAGUCUCUCAUCCUGGGCAAGUGCAGGUGCUGAGUAGAGGGGAAAGAUGAGCUCGCUGCCAUCAGCCCUCUUUGCCCCCAGGGAACAUCGAUUGCCUGGUCAAGUUGUUGAGAAUCCACCUCCCAGUGCUGCACCCCCCAGCACACCCUGGAGCCCGGGGUGGUUCCUCCCCAGGGGCAGGACUUUGCUGUGACUGAGGGUGGCAGGAGAUGUCGCUGCCAGCCCAAUUGUGGUGGCUGCUGAAGUCCCUCAGGAGGGCAGGAUGGUGAACUUGGUGGGGUCGUGGCUCCUGGCCUUGUCCUUGGCCACGGUGCCAGGAGGGCUGUGGGCACAAUGGAUGCUGUUGGAGGCCGGUGGGGGGCUGCGAGCUACUGGGGACUCUGUGCUCUUCUCCUGCGAUGGCCUCGGUUUCAGCUUUGAUACCCUUGGACAUCGGUGGUACCGCCAGGCACCUGGAUCCAGACUUGAGUCGGUGUCUUAUAUGCGCCAUGAUUCCUCAGUCAUUCAAUAUGGGCCAUCAGUGCAGGGUCGAGCCACAGUUUCACAGGACCAAUUCCAGCAAAAAGCAUCUCUGACCCUGCGUGCCCUGAACCCCAAGGAUUCUGCCCGCUACUUCUGUGCCACGGGCACGGAGAGGGGAAAUGCAUCUGAGCUUGUACAAAAACCUAUUGGGGCCCAGGACAGGGUGCACGAGGAUCGGAGCAGCCGAGUGCCGAGGUGGCUCAGGACUCUUUCCCCAACGUUUUCCUGACCUUUCUCUGCUUUAUCCUGUGAAGGUGGUUUAAUGGGUUCCUGUCAUCCAAGCAGCCUGGCCACCCUGCCUGCCUGAAGAUUCUCUCUCUCCCCCUUUGGUUGUCUUCUUCCCUGUUCCACCGUGGAAGCCUGGGCUUCAGAGACAACAGUGUCUCGUGGGGUGAUUCCUUGUGCCACUGAGAGCAAAGCCCUGAGGGAGCAGCCCUGCUUUUGUUCCAGGUGCAUAUCAGGGUGCUGAGAUCCAAGCGACCAAGUCUGCGGUGUGGUGGCGAGCAGGGGAGACCAGGACC